rnacentral:lncRNA from 1 species
GAAAGAUCCCAUGCACUGAGAGAAGCAGGAGAGACUACAGCAGCAGACGCUUGCCACAGUGCUGUUCUAUACUACUUGAUCCAGAUUUGCUGGAGCUCCUCUGGUGGAGAGAGUCACAGGCUUGUGCCUCUUGGCAGGCUCAAGAAAAAAAGUAUAUCAAAAUGGGAUGGAGAGUGUCAAACAGAAAGAAAGAUGACCUUCUCUGAUGGAGCUGGGCUCCAGGUUCAUAAGAAAACCAAUAGCCCAGAGAUGCAGGAGAGCAUGUCUUUAGGCCCCAGCAACUAUGGAAGCAAGAGAGUUGAAGAGACAUGCAUUAUUUAUUCCUGGCCUUUUAGACAUGCCCAGUGAAUGCUCCAUCUCAUCUAUCAUAAGCGUUUCUCCCCUUUGUGGGUGGAAUAGGGUGGAUGAGAAGGGAUUGAGUGCAGUCUUGGUAGGGAAUGGAUAGAGAAAAGGAGAAGUGAAGUGGUGCUCUCCUCCCAGAGGCCACCUUUACUCUACCUCUCACUUCUUGGCUAUCAAAUUCUUCCUACCCCUCCUCUCUGGGAAGUCUUAGCCCACAGUUGUCUUUUGCUUCUAUCAGCUUCUCUUCCACUUUCCUGCCUGACCCAACUCCUUGUCAUUCAUUCAACAAAUAUUUCCUAAAUGCCCACUGGUCUCUCCUGCUUCUCUCAGCACGUGGGACUUUUUUUCUCACCCUGAAUUGGCACGACCUGAGAUUGAGGUCUGGACAUUGAUGGGGCAGAUCCCUUGGCUGACUUGGCAUUGGAGUCUGGUUUAGAUCUGGUUGCCUGGAUGCAGAGCCUGAGACAAGGAUUUGGGUAUGCAUGAUUUUUAGGGGUUGGGUACUUUUCCGGACAUUGGGGAUUUAUUAGCAAAUAGCUGCCAUUUGUUCCCAAUGGGGAAAGACACAAUAAACAUACAAACAGCUAAAUUGGGCACAUUAGGCUAGUGAUAGGUGAUAUGAAGAAAAUAAAACAAGAGAAUCAUGUACUUAUCAUGCUAGUGUUUGUUUCUGUGAGUCUCAUCUGCCCUGUGAAGUUGCAAGUGCUUCGUGGGCAGAGAUCUCCACUAAUACUUCUUUGCUUCUUCCAAGGAGCCUGGUCCAGAGCCUUAUCUAAGCAUCAUAAGAAAUCAACACAAACUUCAUGAUUUCUGGACAGCAAUUACACUCAGGAUUUUCAACUCUGGACCAGCCUCAGGUUUCACUCCUUUUGCCCUUGGACUUCACCCAUUGUGUGCUUUGUGUGCAGUGGUGUGAAUGCGGUCUCCCAGGGCCUGCGUUUGAGCUGGCUGCUGCUUGCUGGUGUGUGACCUACGCUGAGUCUCGACUUUCAUAGUCUCACCUCCCUUCCGGGAAAGGCAAGGAAGGUGAGAAUGCCCACUCCAAAGGGUUGUGGAGGACAGAAUGGGAUGAUCCAUCUUCUAUGACAAGAGGGUGAUGGACUAAGUACUGAUUAGUGAGAAAGCCAGGAUCAGCCUCAGGGGAUCCACAAGGCGCAUUGGACCCAUGGCCCUGGCCACCUGGUCAGCUUCAAGGGAGUCUUGGCCACUGGUUUUGGUCUUGAUCAAGGUCCUGAGCAUAGGCCUUUAGGAGUCAGCAGAGGAUGUGGGAGAAAGGUUCUCUCCAGCCUUCCUACUGCCACAUAUCAGGAUUCAUCUUUUCUCUCCUCAAACUGAUACCUUCCCAAUGUCCGCAUUUCUCUCCCUACUUAGGCUUGAAACCCCAGGUUUGCCUUUGCUUUUCCUUUUUCUUAUCCUAUUCCUCUACUCAGAAGCCAGGUCUCCCAGGUCCUGUGUUUUGUUUUCUCCAACUCCCAUCAUUUUCUUUCCUUUACUCCUGCCCCGCUUCCAGUUCUAGGUCCUUACUUUGCAUUUUGGGGUGGUUGGUGUAACUUCCUCAUCGGUAUCUCUGACUCCUGCUUCUCCUCUUCACACUCCAUCUGGCAUACUCAGAGAUCCAGCUGAAAAAUAGAAGGACUCUAGGAGAAAAUAGUGCGGACCCCUUUUGCUGGCAUUUUGAGCUCUCUGCUACUGGCCCUCUCUACCUUCGUAGCUUCCAUCUGCCAGGCAGCAGCCAGCUUGUCCACUCACUGCUCCCUGAACGUAUCUGGUGUCUCCCUGCCUCUGAGCUUUUGCUCAUGCUGUUCCUGCUGUUGAGGAUGCUGGAUUUGCCCUGCUCUUCAACACCCAGUUAAGAGGUAGUCCCUGAUGCCACAAUCAGCUGGGAACUCGAUAUCACCUCUGCAAUUUGUACCCCUGAUCUUACACCUUUUGCAUGAUACUUACAUUCAGAUUGAUACUCUAGGAGUUCUUGAUUUUUUUUGUGAUAUUACUGAGGGAGCUUUACUUUUUUAGACCCUGACAUGAGAAUGUCAGCCAUGUUUGUCGAGAAUGUGAGUUCUCUCCAGCAGCAGAUGCUGAGUCCGGUAGAGCUGAGAUGAGGACACCUGACACAACCCAAGUGGGUGUCUGUGGUUGCACUUGAGUGGCAGGGGAUGGAGGAGCAACCAGGGAGAUGGCAAAAUAUGAUGUGUCCCGCUUAAUGUUCCUUCUUCCUGGGAUUCUCCAAAUCUUCAGUAAAGAUAAAAUUCUUGAAGCAAGAAGAAUUUCUGUAGAACCAGAGAAAACAUUGACUCAUGGGUCGGUGGCAUCCCAGGUGACCUAGGAGUGGGUGGGCCAAAGAAACAUGAAGAGCCCACCUGUCAGCUGCCUGCAGGGACUGUGGAGAUGCCUUGGUUCCCAUGAAAGGUGACGAGUGUAGUUUCUGAUGAGUUCAAUGCCAUUUCUUUUGCAGAGUGGCUUGGGGGAACCCAGAUGGCAUCUGGGAUAGAUUUCUCAUCCUGUCUGAGAGAUUCUUGGGGAAGAAUGCUAAAAUCCUUCCUUUUAGUUCCUCUGGUUCGAUGCCUAGCACAGCAAUUGUUGAUUUAAAUAGAGAUACUGAGGCAGGUGGUGAUUUCUUUGCAGGGGAGUACGUGCUACCAGACAGUUUGUUUCUCCUACUUAGUAUUACAUAACGUGCUCUUUCUCCCAUUUUUAUAUAUGAUCCUCACAGUGAGCAUGGAUGAGAGACUUUGUAUACAGAGAAAGAAAAUGGGACUCACAGAGGGUGAAUGACUUCCUGAAGAUCGCACAGUUAGAAAGUGGCAGAGCUGGGACUUAAAUCCAGAGUUCCUGGCUGCAAAUCUAGUGCUUGGUCAGUCUUCCAUACCAGGCAGACUCCUGAGUUCUUAUACAUCAAGUAAGGCUGAACUGGGAGAAUCUGGGAAGCUGGAUUGCAGUGCCCUCUCUAUUAACUCCCAAAGGAAAAUGAUAUAAUUUGAGAGUAUGAGCUGAUGCUAGGACUCUCUCUUCUUUCUUACAUUAUCUUCAUGGAACAUUUUGGUCAUGUACAGAUACGAAAGAGUCCCCAGAAUGUCUUCCAAAGGAAUUUCAGGACCCUAAAGCCUGGAAGCAUCAGAAAACAUUAGUCAUCUGGAUCACUGAACCAGAGCACUGCUUUGAAAUGUAAAGGAUUCCUGCAUGAAUGUCCACUCCACCCAGAAGACCGUCAUUGUUGCUGGUAGGGUGUAAUCUACAAUUUGUGGCCUUCACCAUUGUGUCAUGCAUUGAUUCCUACAUCAAGAGCCACGUGGGGUACAUGUCAUUUUCCUUCUCUUUACAAAUGAGAAAAUGAGGCUCAGAUUAAAUUACUUGCCCACGUUCAUGCAGCUAGUAAUGGAGAGAUGUGGAAUACAAAGCCAUAUUAUUUCUUAAUUCAAAUGCUGUGUUCUCAGCCACGAUGCUAUCAUGCCUGCAAGUAGACAUUUGCUGAUUGAAUGGAGUUGAAUCACACUACAGGAGUGAGUGUGGAUAAGAGCCAAGUGUCUAGUACAGACAGAAAUGUGCAGGAGUAGAGAGAAGGGUGGAUUGCCGGGAGAAAGUGUGGCACUGCCAUCAGACUGUAGGUGGCCUCGCCAUUGGGUCAAGCAAGUAUUUGGUGCUGGGGAGUAUGGAGGGGGCACACGGGCCUUCUCAGGCAGCCCAAGAAGGACGAGGCCUUAUAGGAAAACUGACUUAAGAUGAACCCUGCCAGAAAGGGCCACUCCGUCACCAGCCUUGUCUGAGGUCAUAUUUCAAAGACUGGCUCAGGGCCACUGGCUGGGGUGCAGGGCUGUGAGAUCAUGGCUGAGCAAUCUGACUUUUAAAAAAUAUAAGGACCAACUUGGGAGUUUUAUCGCAGUUCUGCGUUCUGCCGCCCAGGCAUGAAGUCAGCUGGCCUGCUUGUGACAGGGAGCAUUUCACUUGUAAUUAGCUGGUUUUUUUUUUUUUUUUUUUUAAUAUUCUGCCUAAACUGCGGUGUGGUGUGAGUGAGCCCGCUCCCUUGGAGCUGCCCCACAGCGGUAGCGGAGGUGAGUCAUGGCCAUAAAAUCUGGAAAGCUCGUAGGGGGAUGGAGGGCGGUGGAGAAAUAUAAAUUAUUGUGAUCGUCUUUCAGGAGCGCUCGAGUUAAUUAUUGUACUUUCGCCAGCUGCGUUGUGCCUUCAUCAAUGCCGAGCCAGAAGUGAUGGUUUUAGUGGGGAAAGAGUCGUUCUUUAAUGGGGCAGAGGCCCACGAAGCCCUGUGUUCUUUUGAGGGAGGUUGGGUGCAUGAAAUUCCCAGCACCAGCUGGAACCUGUGCGGAUUUGCUCUGAGACACUUGGGUGUGAGCAGCGUCACGUUUUCUUUAUUUUUCUAAAGCAAAUAAAUCUGGCUUCGUUCUCCACCUGCCAGGGCUGGCAGGCAACCC